GUCCGAGUUGUAAUUUGUAGAGGAUGCUUUUGGCGCGGUGCCUUCCGAGUUCCCUGGAACGGGACGCCUUAGAGGGUGAGAGCCCCGUACGGUUGGACACUAAGCCUCUGUAAAGCUCCUUCGACGAGUCGAGUAGUUUGGGAAUGCUGCUCUAAAUGGGAGGUAAAUUUCUUCUAAAGCUAAAUAUUGGCCAGAGACCGAUAGCGCACAAGUAGAGUGAUCGAAAGAUGAAAAGCACUUUGAAAAGAGGGUUAAAUAGCACGUGAAAUUGUUGAAAGGGAAGCGUUUGCGACCAGACCUUUUCCUAGCGGAUCAACCGGUGUUCUCACCGGUGCACUUCGCUAGGUUUAGGCCAGCAUCGGUUUCUGGAGGGGGAUAAAAGCUCUGGGAACGUAGCUCCUCCGGGAGUGUUAUAGCCCUCUGCAUAAUACCUUUACAGGGACCGAGGACCGCGCUUCGGCAAGGAUGCUGGCGUAAUGGUCGUCAACGACCCGUCUUGAAACACGGACCAAGGAGUCGAACAUUUGUGCGAGUGUUUGGGUGUUAAACCCUCACGCGUAAUGAAAGUGAACGGAGGUGAGAGCCCUUACGGGUGCAUCAUCGACCGAUCCUGAUGUCUUCGGAUGGAUUUGAGUAAGAGCAUAACUGUUCGGACCCGAAAGAUGGUGAACUAUGCGUGGAUAGGGUGAAGCCAGAGGAAACUCUGGUGGAGGCUCGCAGCGGUUCUG
rnacentral:rRNA from 1 species